AUGUCGAGCUCCGCUUCAGCCUCCCGCCGCUCAUGGCCGCGCUAUGGCACAGUGCCCAUGACAAGGUGCCAUGCAUGCCCACGUACCGCACCCCUGAAGCGGCUAGUCACAACGACCGACAAGAAUGGCAACCUUGGGCGGGAAUUCGUGAAAUGGGAGAGCAAACCAGAGCAGGGAAAGAAAUUGAAGCAAUGCACCCAUUUUGAGUGGCUAGAUGAGUACAUAGAGCGGAUUCAACUGGAGGGUGCAUCAGGGGAGCUCGAUUUACCGUUGGAGGCGGAGAAGUUGGGCAAGUUUGGAUCGGGCCCGUCUGGAUCUGGGGCCCCUGGAUCUGGCAAUUCCAUUGGGGGUGCCCAUUCCAUUGGUGCUACUGUGGGGGAUGCAGGAGUGACGGCAGAGCUGAAGAAGCUGAACAAGCAGAUGAAGAAACUCAUCGAAUUGCAGAAGCAGGGCAAUUUGAUGGGGCUGAUGGCCGGGCUUUUUUAUGUUUGUGUAAUUGCUCUCGCAUUUGUUUAUGUGAUGAUAAUUAGUCGUAAGUGA
rnacentral:rRNA from 1 species